CCUAGAGUUGUAGGCUUUGCCUGCCUAUCUCUUACCCAUGUCUUUUGAGUACCUUACGUUUCCUCGGUGGGUUCCGCCCGCCGUCAUUGGACAAUUUAAACCACUUGCAGUUGAAAUCAGCGUCUGAAAAACUUAAUAGUUA
rnacentral:misc_RNA from 1 species